rnacentral:misc_RNA from 1 species
GAUGAAGAACGUAGCGAAAUGCGAUAAGUAGUGUGAAUUGCAGAAUUCAGUGAAUCAUCGAAUCUUUGAACGCACAUUGCGCCCUUUGGUAUUCCUUAGGGCAUGCCUGUUCGAGCGUCAUUUAAACCUUCAAGCUAAGCUUGGUGUUGGGUGACUGUCCGCUUCACGGCGGACUCGCCUCAAAAUUAUUGGCGGCCGGUACAUUGGCUUCGAGCGCAGCAGAAACGCGAACUCGGGCUCGUCGUAUUGGCUCCCAGAAGCUAUCUUCACAAUUUUGACCUCGGAUCAGGUAGGGAUACCCGCUGAACUUAAGCAUAUCAAUAAGCGGAGGA